rnacentral:rRNA from 1 species
AUGAACGCUAGCUACAGGCUUAACACAUGCAAGUCGAGGGGCAUCAGGAAGAAAGCUUGCUUUCUUUGCUGGCGACCGGCGCACGGGUGAGUAACACGUAUCCAACCUGCCCUUUACUCGGGGAUAGCCUUUCGAAAGAAAGAUUAAUACCCGAUGGCAUAAUGAUUCCGCAUGGUUUCAUUAUUAAAGGAUUCCGGUAAAGGAUGGGGAUGCGUUCCAUUAGGUUGUUGGUGAGGUAACGGCUCACCAAGCCUUCGAUGGAUAGGGGUUCUGAGAGGAAGGUCCCCCACAUUGGAACUGAGACACGGUCCAAACUCCUACGGGAGGCAGCAGUGAGGAAUAUUGGUCAAUGGGCGCUAGCCUGAACCAGCCAAGUAGCGUGAAGGAUGAAGGCUCUAUGGGUCGUAAACUUCUUUUAUAUAAGAAUAAAGUGCAGUAUGUAUACUGUUUUGUAUGUAUUAUAUGAAUAAGGAUCGGCUAACUCCGUGCCAGCAGCCGCGGUAAUACGGAGGAUCCGAGCGUUAUCCGGAUUUAUUGGGUUUAAAGGGAGCGUAGGUGGACUGGUAAGUCAGUUGUGAAAGUUUGCGGCUCAACCGUAAAAUUGCAGUUGAUACUGUCAGUCUUGAGUACAGUAGAGGUGGGCGGAAUUCGUGGUGUAGCGGUGAAAUGCUUAGAUAUCACGAAGAACUCCGAUUGCGAAGGCAGCUCACUGGACUGCAACUGACACUGAUGUUCGAAAGUGUGGGUAUCAAACAGGAUUAGAUACCCUGGUAGUCCACACAGUAAACGAUGAAUACUCGCUGUUUGCGAUAUACAGUAAGCGGCCAAGCGAAAGCAUUAAGUAUUCCACCUGGGGAGUACGCCGGCAACGGUGAAACUCAAAGGAAUUGACGGGGGCCCGCACAAGCGGAGGAACAUGUGGUUUAAUUCGAUGAUACGCGAGGAACCUUACCCGGGCUUAAAUUGCAGUGGAAUGAUGUGGAAACAUGUCAGUGAGCAAUCACCGCUGUGAAGGUGCUGCAUGGUUGUCGUCAGCUCGUGCCGUGAGGUGUCGGCUUAAGUGCCAUAACGAGCGCAACCCUUAUCUUUAGUUACUAACAGGUCAUGCUGAGGACUCUAGAGAGACUGCCGUCGUAAGAUGUGAGGAAGGUGGGGAUGACGUCAAAUCAGCACGGCCCUUACGUCCGGGGCUACACACGUGUUACAAUGGGGGGUACAGAAGGCAGCUAGCGGGUGACCGUAUGCUAAUCCCAAAAUCCUCUCUCAGUUCGGAUCGAAGUCUGCAACCCGACUUCGUGAAGCUGGAUUCGCUAGUAAUCGCGCAUCAGCCACGGCGCGGUGAAUACGUUCCCGGGCCUUGUACACACCGCCCGUCAAGCCAUGGGAGCCGGGGGUACCUGAAGUACGUAACCGCAAGGAUCGUCCUAGGGUAAAACUGGUGACUGGGGCU